CCUACGGGUGGCAGCAGUGAGGAAUAUUGGUCAAUGGCCGGAAGGCUGAACCAGCCAUGCCGCGUGAAGGUCAGUGCCCUAUGGGCGUUAAACUUCUUUUGUGCGGGAGCAAUAAUGGUCACGUGUGGCCAGACGAGAGUACCGUACGAAUAAGCAUCGGCUAACUCCGUGCCAGCAGCCGCGGUAAUACGGGGGAUGCAAGCGGUAUCCGGAUUUAUUGGGUUUAAAGGGUGCGUAGGCUGUGAGGUAAGUCAGCGGUGAAAUGCCCCCGCUCACAGGGGUGAAAUGCCAUUGAUACUGCCUGGCUGGAAUGCGGAUGCCGGAGGAGGAAUGUGUGGUGUAGCGGUGAAAUGCAUAGAUAUCACACAGAACACCGAGUGCGAAGGCAUCUCACGAAUCCGCGAUUGACGCUGAUGCACGAAAGCGUGGGUAUCAAACAGGAUUAGAUACCCCGGUAGUC
rnacentral:rRNA from 1 species